rnacentral:rRNA from 1 species
AAAAGUGAAAGACGGUCUUGCUGUCACUUAUAGAUGGAUCCGCGCUGCAUUAGCUAGUUGGUAAGGUAACGGCUUACCAAGGCAACGAUGCAUAGCCGACCUGAGAGGGUGAUCGGCCACACUGGAACUGAGACACGGUCCAGACUCCUACGGGAGGCAGCAGUAGGGAAUCUUCCGCAAUGGGCGAAAGCCUGACGGAGCAACGCCGCGUGAGUGAUGAAGGUCUUCGGAUCGUAAAACUCUGUUAUUAGGGAAGAACAUAUGUGUAAGUAACUGUGCACAUCUUGACGGUACCUAAUCAGAAAGCCACGGCUAACUACGUGCCAGCAGCCGCGGUAAUACGUAGGUGGCAAGCGUUAUCCGGAAUUAUUGGGCGUAAAGCGCGCGUAGGCGGUUUUUUAAGUCUGAUGUGAAAGCCCACGGCUCAACCGUGGAGGGUCAU